rnacentral:rRNA from 1 species
AACGAACGCUGGCGGCAUGCCUAACACAUGCAAGUCGAACGAGACCUUCGGGUCUAGUGGCGCACGGGUGCGUAACGCGUGGGAACCUGCCCUUAGGUUCGGAAUAACUCCCCGAAAGGGGUGCUAAUACCGGAUAAUGUCUUCGGACCAAAGAUUUAUCGCCUUUGGAUGGGCCCGCGUUGGAUUAGCUAGUUGGUAGGGUAAAAGCCUGCCAAGGCGACGAUCCAUAGCUGGUCUGAGAGGAUGAUCAGCCACACUGGGACUGAGACACGGCCCAGACUCCUACGGGAGGCAGCAGUGGGGAAUAUUGGAGGAUGGGCGAAAGCCUGACACAGCAAUGCCGCGUGAGUGAUGAAGGCCUUAGGGUUGUAAAGCUCUUUUACCCGGGAUGAUAAUGACAGUACCGGGAGAAUAAGCUCCGGCUAACUCCGUG